rnacentral:rRNA from 1 species
CCAAUAGCGUAUAUUAAAGUUGUUGCAGUUAAAAAGCUCGUAGUUGAAUUUCGGGAUCAAUGUUUCGGUCAUGUCGUUGGUAUGUACUGAUAUUAUUGGUUUCUCACCUUCUAAAGAACCGUAAUGCCAUUAAUUUGGUGUCACGGGGAAUUAGGACUGUUACCUUGAAAAAAUUAGAGUGUUUAAAGCAGGCUCACGCUUGAAUACAUUAGCAUGGAAUAAUGAAAUAGGACAUCCGAUUCUAUUUUGUUGGUUUCUAGGAUCGAUGUAAUGAUUAAUAGGGAUAGUUGGGGGCAUUAGUAUUCAAUUGUCAGAGGUGAUAUUCUUGGAUUUAUUGAAGACUAACUACUGCGAAAGCAUUUGCCAAGGAUGUUUUCAUUAAUCAAGAACGAAAGUUAGGGGAUCGAAGACGAUCAGAUACCGUCGUAGUCUUAACCAUAAACUAUGCCGACUAGGGAUCGGAUGAUGUUAAUUUUUUAAUGACUCAUUCGGCGCCUUACG